rnacentral:tRNA from 1 species
GCCGGUGUAGCUCAGUUGGUAGAGCAACCGCCUUGUAAGCGGUAGGUCGUCGGUUCGAGUCCGACCCCCGGCUCCA